ACUGAGACACGGCCCAAGCUCUUACGGGAGGCAGCAGUGGGGAAUAUUGCACAAUGGGCGAAAGCCUGAUGCAGCAACGCCGCGUGAAGGAUGAAGGGUUUCGGCUCGUAAACUUCUAUCAAUAGGGAAGAAACAAAUGACGGUACCUAAAUAAGAAGCCCCGGCUAACUACGUGCCAGCAGCCGCGGUAAUACGUAGGGGGCAAGCGUUAUCCGGAAUUACUGGGUGUAAAGGGAGCGUAGGCGGCAUGGUAAGCCAGAUGUGAAAGCCUUGGGCUUAACCCGAGGAUUGCAUUUGGAACUAUCAAGCUAGAGUACAGGAGAGGAAAGCGGAAUUCCUAGUGUAGCGGUGAAAUGCGUAGAUAUUAGGAAGAACACCAGUGGCGAAGGCGGCUUUCUGGACUGAAACUGACGCUGAGGCUCGAAAGCGUGGGGAGCAAACAGGAUUAGAUACCCUGGUAGUCCACGCCGUAAACGAUGAGUGCUAGGUGUCGGGGAGGAAUCCUCGGUGCCGCAGCUAACGCAAUAAGCACUCCACCUGGGGAGUACGACCGCGAGGUUGAAGCUCAAAGGAAUUGACGGGGGCCCGCACAAGCGGUGGAGCAUGUGGUUUAAUUCGAAGCAACGCGAAGAACCUUACCAAGGCUUGACAUCCCGAUGACCGUCCUAGAGAUAGGACUUCUCUUCGGAGCAUCGGUGACAGGUGGUGCAUGGUUGUCGUCAGCUCGUGUCGUGAGAUGUUGGGUUAAGUCCCGCAACGAGCGCAACCCUUAUCUUCAGUAGCCAUCAUUCAGUUGGGCACUCUGGAGAGACUGCCGUGGAUAACACGGAAGAAGGUGGGGAUGACGUCAAAUCAUCAUGCCCCUUAUGUCUUGGGCUACACACGUGCUACAAUGGCUGGCAACAAAGUGACGCAAGACGGCGACGUUAAGCAAAUCACAAAAACCCAGUCCCAGUUCGGAUUGUAGUCUGCAACUCGACUACAUGAAGCUGGAAUCGCUAGUAAUCGCGAAUCAGCAUGUCGCGGUGAAUACGUUCCCGGGCCUUGCACU
rnacentral:rRNA from 1 species